rnacentral:rRNA from 1 species
GAUGAACGCUGGCGGCGUGCCUAAUACAUGCAAGUCGAACGCACAGCGAAAGGUGCUUGCACCUUUCAAGUGAGUGGCGAACGGGUGAGUAACACGUGGACAACCUGCCUCAAGGCUGGGGAUAACAUUUGGAAACAGAUGCUAAUACCGAAUAAAACUUAGUGUCGCAUGACACAAAGUUAAAAGGCGCUUCGGCGUCACCUAGAGAUGGAUCCGCGGUGCAUUAGUUAGUUGGUGGGGUAAAGGCCUACCAAGACAAUGAUGCAUAGCUGAGUUGAGAGACUGAUCGGCCACAUUGGGACUGAGACACGGCCCAAACUCCUACGGGAGGCUGCAGUAGGGAAUCUUCCACAAUGGGCGAAAGCCUGAUGGAGCAACGCCGCGUGUGUGAUGAAGGCUUUCGGGUCGUAAAGCACUGUUGUAUGGGAAGAACAGCUAGAAUAGGAAAUGAUUUUAGUUUGACGGUACCAUACCAGAAAGGGACGGCUAAAUACGUG